rnacentral:rRNA from 1 species
GAUGAACGCUAGCGGCAGGCCUAACACAUGCAAGUCGAGGGGUAACAGAAGAGAGCUUGCUUUCUUGCUGACGACCGGCGCACGGGUGCGUAACGCGUAUGCAACCUACCUCUUACUGGAGGAUAGCCCGGAGAAAUCCGGAUUAAUACUCCAUAGUAUGUAUUAUUCGCAUGUUUAAUACAUUAAAGGUUACGGUAAGAGAUGGGCAUGCGUCCUAUUAGCUAGAUGGUAAGGUAACGGCUUACCAUGGCAACGAUAGGUAGGGGGCCUGAGAGGGUGAUCCCCCACACUGGUACUGAGACACGGACCAGACUCCUACGGGAGGCAGCAGUGAGGAAUAUUGGGCAAUGGAGGCAACUCUGACCCAGCCAUGCCGCGUGCAGGAAGAAGGUCCUAUGGAUUGUAAACUGCUUUUAUUUGGGAAUAAACUCCGGUACGUGUACCGGCCUGAAUGUACCAAAUGAAUAAGCACCGGCUAACUCCG